GAUGAACGCUGGCGGCGUGCCUAAUACAUGCAAGUCGAGCGAACGGACGAGAAGCUUGCUUUUCUGAUGUUAGCGGCGGACGGGUGAGUAACACGUGGAUAACCUACCUAUAAGACUGGGAUAACUUCGGGAAACCGGAGCUAAUACCGGAUAAUAUUUUGAACCGCAUGGUUCAAAAGUGAAAGACGGUCUUGCUGUCACUUAUAGAUGGAUCCGCGCUGCAUUAGCUAGUUGGUAAGGUAACGGCUUACCAAGGCAACGAUGCAUAGCCGACCUGAGAGGGUGAUCGGCCACACUGGAACUGAGACACGGUCCAGACUCCUACGGGAGGCAGCAGUAGGGAAUCUUCCGCAAUGGGCGAAAGCCUGACGGAGCAAGGCCGCGUGAGUGAUGAAGGUCUUCGGAUCGUAAAACUCUGUUAUUAGGGAAGAACAUAUGUGUAAGUAACUGUGCACAUCUUGACGGUACCUAAUCAGAAAGCCACGGCUAACUACGUG
rnacentral:rRNA from 1 species